rnacentral:rRNA from 1 species
CCAAUAGCGUAUAUUAAAGUUGUUGCAGUUAAAAAGCUCGUAGUUGAAUUUUAGGCCUGGCCGGACGGUCCGUCUCUGGCGAGUACUGUUCUGUCGUCGGGUCUAUCCUUCUGGUGAGCCGGUAUGUUCUUAAUUGAGCGUAACGGGGAGCCAGGACCAUUACCUUGAAAAAAUUAGAGUGUUUAAAGCAGGCUUUUGCUUGAAUAGAUUAGCAUGGAAUAAUAGAAUAGGACGUUGUGGUUCUAUUUUGUUGGUUCAAGGACCACCGUAAUGAUUAAUAGGGAUAGUUGGGGGCAUUAGUAUUCAAUUGUCAGAGGUGAAAUUCUUGGAUUUAUUGAAGACUAACUACUGCGAAAGCAUUUGCCAAGGAUGUUUUCAUUAAUCAAGAACGAAAGUUAGGGGAUCGAAGACGAUCAGAUACCGUCGUAGUCUUAACCAUAAACUAUGCCGACUAGGAAUCGGGCGACGUUAUUUUUACGACUCGCUCGGCGCCUUAUG